GCACAGAGGAACUUGUUCCUUGGGUGGCGAGUGGCGGACGGGUGAGUAAUGUAUCGGAACGUGCCCAGUAGUGGGGGAUAACUACGCGAAAGCGUGGCUAAUACCGCAUAUUCUCUACGGAGGAAAGGGGGGGAUCAUUUGACCUCUCGCUAUUGGAGCGGCCGAUAUUAGAUUAGCUAGUUGGUGGGGUAACGGCCUACCAAGGCGAUGAUCUAUAGCUGGUUUGAGAGGACGACCAGCCACACUGGGACUGAGACACGGCCCAGACUCCUACGGGAGGCAGCAGUGGGGAAUUUUCGACAAUGGGGGGAACCCUGAUCGAGCCAUCCCGCGUGUGGGACGAAGGCCUUCGGGUUGUAAACCACUUUUCUCAACGAAGAAAAGCCUUAGACUAAUACUCUGAGGUGCUGACGGUAGUUGAGGAAUAAGCACCGGCUAACUAUGUGCCAGCAGCCGCGGUAAUACAUAGGGUGCAAGCGUUAAUCGGAAUUACUGGGCGUAAAGGGUGCGCAGGCGGCUUGGAAAGAACGGUGUGAAAUCCCGGGGCUCAACCCCGGAACUGCACUAUUAACUAUCAAGCUAGAGUAUGUCAGAGGGGGGUGGAAUUCCGCGUGUAGCAGUGAAAUGCGUAGAUAUGCGGAGGA
rnacentral:rRNA from 1 species